CAAUAGCGUAUAUUAAAGUUGUUGCAGUUAAAAAGCUCGUAGUCGGAUUUUGGCAUCAUGCCGAACUGUCGGCCGAUUGGUUUGUACGGUUUGGCGGGUGCUCUCCUUCCGGAGGCUCGUUUCCUCUUUCAUUAGAGGGUUCGAUGGUUCCGGGUCUUUUACUUUGAAAAAAUUAGAGUGUUCAAAGCGGGCUUACGCUUGAAUAUUUCAGCAUGGAAUAACACUAUAGGACUCCUGUCCUAUUUCGUUGGUCUCGGGACGGGAGUAAUGAUUAAGAGGAACAGUUGGGGGCAUUCGUAUUUCAUUGUCAGAGGUGAAAUUCUUGGAUUUAUGAAAGACGAACUUCUGCGAAAGCAUUUGCCAAGGAUGUUUUCAUUAAUCAAGAACGAAAGUUGGGGGCUCGAAGAUGAUUAGAU
rnacentral:rRNA from 1 species